AGAAGUAUGUUUGUUUAGCAGAGAUGUUCUGACAGGCUCAAUUAACUUGCAAUAAAAGGAACAAAGGAAAGUCAUUAUUGCCAACUCAUGGCUAUUUAAAGCUAUCCUGAUUUGGUAUGAGGAGAAGGGAGUAGUUUAAAGGAGUCCUUACCAAUUAAUUCUAUUUUAAUAUUAGAUCUUUACAGUAUUAAUAUUAUGUAGCAAUAAUUUAUUGAAUGGAAAUUUAAAGUACAGGACAAUCAAAACAGUAGUUUAGCAAAUAUCAGAAAAAAGAAAAGAAAAGAGAACAUCUGCAUUCAAUUUUGCUCAAGGGUCUGAUGAAGGAAAGACUAUCUAGAGAUCACAGGGUUUUAAGAAGGGUGAAUUUCAUGGCAUGUGGAUGUUUUCUGACUUUGGAUGUGGAAAAGAAAGUUUAGGGAAUUAACUCACAGGAAUACUAGGAAGAUAUAUCUUGAGUUAACCAAUAAAGUAUUUUAUUUCUCCUGGCCUUUUAUCCACUCAACCACCCAUUAUUUAUUACUGAACAAAAGAUUCCGUUUUUAUCAGGAGGCUUUAACGAGAUUGACUUGGAAAUUUCUUUGAUACAAUCUCUGUUGCCUUUCUUAAUAACAAAAUAACUCAUGACACAUGGGAUAUGUAGCUGUUUGGAGAACUGAAUGUUCGUUGAAUGACAGGUUUUGCACUCAAGAAGCUGCAAAGUGCAACUGACAUGUUUGUCAGAUCCCUAGAGGCUUGUCUACUACUCUUACAAGCAACAAAAAUAUUGACUUUUACUGCUCCCAUAAUAACAGGAAUUUGUCUUUUUAGGAUGGCACAUUUCUGGUCAGAGACAGCUCUAAAAAAACAACAACCAAUCCAUAUGUCCUCAUGGUGUUGUACAAAGAUAAAGUUUACAACAUCCAGAUCCGUUAUCAGAAGGAAAGUCAAGUUUACUUGUUGGGAACUGGACUCCGAGGGAAAGAGGACUUUCUGUCUGUGUCAGAUAUUAUUGACUACUUCAGGAAAAUGCCACUUCUGCUCAUUGAUGGGAAAAACCGAGGUUCCAGAUACCAGUGCACAUUAACGCAUGCUGCAGGGUACCCAUAGCAAGUUAUAGCCGAGCAAAUGAACCGUCCUCCUGCCUCUGUUGCCAACACGAGAUCAAUCAGCCUUGGUCAAUGGACAAACACUUAGGACUGAACUGAACCCCUCCCCAUGAACACAAGGGUUUUAUCCUUUCCUUUAAAAACAGUGUUUGAAAUGAAGACUGUCAACUAUCCCAUAAUUUAUUUAUUCUUCUUCAAUGUUUGUAAAGUGCAUGAGUCAUGUUCACACUUGAAGUCUAGUAGUGCACUGUAAUAAUUCAUUUUUUAAAAGAUUAUUUAAUGCCCAUUUCAAAAUACAGUAGUUUACACAGCUACAGAAACAAUUUGGGGCAAGUUUUAAAACACUGAAACAGUAAUAGUUAUUGGUGUCACAUAAAACUGAUUUGUUUUUUACAGCCAAACCUCUGUCAGUCAGAGGCAUUCAUUAGUUUUAUACAUGUAAUUUGAAAAUCACUAAACCUCGUUUUCUCAGCAGCAAUAAUUUAAGAGGCUUCAAAAAUAUAAUUUCACUCUUAUUUAGUAUUUUUUCCUGGGGGCAUUUUUACGUAAUUUUUUUAUGAAAAGACAAAUGCAUGUUGAGAUAACUUCUGGGAUUAAAAUAGUCUUUUGCUUUACUUUUUUGGUUUCCUAAAACAACUUUAUUGACUUUUAGUCCAUACUGUUAUAUUUUUGUCUUAAAGAAAAUUUAAACUACAAAUACCAAAAGAAAACAUUUUAAAUUUAGGGAUGAGACUUUGGUGUAUCGUGGGUCUAGGUUUAAUGAACACAUCUGGGGUUAAGUUGGCAUUUCUUCACAUCUCCACACCCACACCAACCAUCACAGCCCCCCACCAACCUUCUCCCAACCCCAAAAGCAUUGUCCAGGGAUAUAGAUUUUACCAAAGGCUUCCUGGGAAGACGAGGGAGCAACACUUUAGAUUAAAUGUGAUCAGACUUUCCUAUUAGAUAUGGCUCUUCUGUCUCUUGUUAUCCCCCUGACAGCUCUGCCAUAAAGUCCCUUCUCCUCAUCCUUCCCAAACAGGCUGUAUAAGUGCUUUGAGGUAAUUAAACUCUUUCCUCCAGUUUACAAAUAUCACUUAACAAAAAAUAUAGGCAUUCAGCCAGAUUAAAAAACUGGUAUUCAGCC
rnacentral:lncRNA from 1 species